ACGCUGGGCCCUAGAGGCCCCGGGCCAGUGUGGUGUGUGUGAUUCCCUCGAGGUGGUGGAAUUCGGGUCCUUUGCUUCUCUUUCUGUACUGUCCGCUUGUCCCUCCUCCGUCCUUCAUCUCGAAGCGGGAAGCGGCUCUUCCUCCUCCCAGCUUCCAACCCAUCCCAGGCGGGCAGGUCUCAGCGUAGAUUCUGUGAUCACCUCAGAACAAAUUUCAUUGCCCUUUAUAGCGGCUACGGUGCUGGGGUGUCCGAGCCUCAGGGCUUUUUGUUGCUGUCCGGCCCGCAGCCCUCGAGCUGGGGCCUGGCCGGAGCACUGCACGGCCGCGGAGCGUGGGCUCCUAGCCAUUCUGUCGGCCCUGCUCUCGCUAGCCAGCUAUCUUUGUCUAUACCAGGUUUCUCCACAUUGCCCUCCCCCACGGUAAGUCACAGACCUGGCCAAAGUAACUACCUCCUCGCCCUGAGUCCCCACCCGUGUGGCAACCCUCUCCUGUCUACGGCCAUACCACACUGAACGCGCCCGCUCUGGUCUGAAAAGCUUACUAAUGCCAUCGCUCCCGCCUUGGGAUGUAUCAUUUUUUCCAGCUUGCCGCCCCUUGCCUUCUGACCUCUGCUCAUCUUUUUUUUUCUUUGCGGCCCCGGGUUAUCAUUUGCAGCCUUCCUCGUCCAUUAUUCUUGAUACCUUUGUAACUUCAUUCUUCUUGGAAAAGGAAUUUACUGAGCUUGAAAAGCCUUUAAGAACUUAAAACUAAAAGUAAUACAGAAGAGAACUGCCCUCCGUCCACGCACCAGCCAGCUCCAUUAUGGCAACACGAAGCCCCAGCAUUGUGAUUAGUGAUGAUGAACCAGGUUAUGACCUAGAUUUAUUUUGUAUACCUAAUCAUUACGCUCAGGAUUUGGAAAAGGUGUUUAUUCCUCAUGGAUUAAUUAUGGACAGGACAGAACGGCUUGCACGAGAUGUGAUGAAGGAGAUGGGAAGCCAUCACAUUGUAGCCCUCUGUGUGCUCAAGGGGGGCUAUAAAUUCUUUGCUGACCUGCUGGGUUACAUUCAAGCAGUGAACAGAAACAGUGAUAGAUCCAUUCUUAUGACUGUAGACUUCAUCAGACUGAAAAGCUGUAAUGACCAGUCCACAAGGGAUAUAAAAGUAAUUGGUGGAGAUGAUCUCUCAACUUUAACUGGAAAGAAUGUCUUGAUUGUUGAAGAUAUAAUUGAAACAGGCAAAACAAUGCAAACCUUGCUUUCCUUGGUCCAGCAGUAUAAUCCAAAGAUGGUCAAGGUUGCAAGUUUGCUGGUGAAAAGGACUCCUCAAAGUAUUGGAUACAGACCAGAUUUUGUUGGAUUUGAAAUUCCAGACAAGUUUGUUGUAGGAUAUGCCCUUGACUAUAAUGAAUAUUUCAGGGAUUUGAAUCAUGUUUGUGUCAUUAGUGAAACUGGAGAAGCAAAAUACAAAGCCCAAGAUGAGAGUUCAAGUUGAAUUUGGAAACAUCUAGAGUCCCAUUGAAAUCACUAGUAAAAUGAUCAAAUGUUCUAGUUCUGUGGCCAGCUGCUUAGAGGGGCUUCUUGCCUGUUCCUUCUAAGAAUUUUAUCUGUUUGGUAUGUUUGUUAGAAAUGUCAUUUGCUGCAUUCCUAAAGUCUUUAUUUGCACUAUGAGCCUAUAGACUAUCAGUUCCCUUUGGGUGGAUUGUUGUUUCACUUGUGAAUGAAAACUCUUAAACCACACCACUGUUGAAUGAAAAUAUUGAAAUUGUAUUUGUAGGAAACAUUUAAAGAGAAGAUAUAUUAAUUUUUACUUGGCAUUUUAAUUUUUAUAUAUUCAGGAAAAGACAAGUGAUUGAAUAUUGUUAAUUAUGCCACUGUGUUUAGAAAAGUAAGAAGCAGUCAGUUUUUGUAUCAAUGACAGCAUUUAAGAGGUAUUGUUUUGUUGGAUAAACCAUGUGUCCUUGAAUUAUUUUAGUGUUUCAGUAUUUUUCUGCUUGUUCAG